UACGGAGGGUGCAAGCGUUAAUCGGAAUUACUGGGCGUAAAGCGCACGCAGGCGGUCUGUCAAGUCGGAUGUGAAAUCCCCGGGCUCAACCUGGGAACUGCAUCCGAAACUGGCAGGCUAGAGUCUUGUAGAGGGGGGUAGAAUUCCAGGUGUAGCGGUGAAAUGCGUAGAGAUCUGGAGGAAGACCGGUGGCGAAGGCGGCCCCCUGGACAAAGACUGACGCUCAGGUGCGAAAGCGUGGGGAGCAAACAGGAUUAGCUACCCUGGUAGUCCCCGCCGUAAACGAUGUCGACUUGGAGGUUGUGCCCUUGAGGCGUGGCUUCCGGAGCUAACGCGUUACGUCGCCCGCCUGGGGAGUACGGCCGCAAGGUUAAA
rnacentral:rRNA from 1 species